rnacentral:rRNA from 1 species
UACGUAGGGGGCAAGCGUUAUCCGGAUUUACUGGGUGUAAAGGGAGCGUAGACGGCAGAGCAAGUCUGAAGUGAAAGCCCGCGGCCCAACUGCGGGACUGCUUUGGAAGCUGCCCGGCUAGAGUGCUGGAGAGGUAAGCGGAAUUCCUAGUGUAGCGGUGAAAUGCGUAGAUAUUAGGAGGAACACCAGUGGCGAAGGCGGCUUACUGGACAGUAACUGACGUUGAGGCUCGAAAGCGUGGGGAGCAAACAGG